GUGAAGGAGAGGAUGAGAAAGUAUGAAGGCGAGAUCUGGGGGUGGAGGAUCAGGCUCAAGCUGAGCUACAUUACACUCUCUUGAGACCCUGCUGACAUCUCAUUCAGUACGAGUAGGAAGCAUCCCCUGCUUCCCCACCUCAUUCAUUAUUUCAAACGCUAGAGAAAUGACAGGGACAUGCAGCAUCUUUCUACUUAUUGCAGUGCUGCAGCAGCAAACUCUUCAGUGAUUUCUUCUGUCUUUACCAGGCUUCUUUCCCCUCUCACUUCUUAGAGCUGCACUGUCCUGUUAUUAUUUGUCCUUGCUAUCACUGCCUCCUUACCCCUCACUUGUCCCAGUGUCCUGCCUGUAAUUAGCUUCUUUCCAGCCGGAGGGAGCAAUUUUUUUCCUUUGGAAGAAUGACAUGUUCCGCUUCAGAAGCUCCUACUUUAAUCUCUAACAAUUGAAACCAACAGAGCUACUGUGCCAUGCCAUGAGGAUUGAUGUAUAAGAGCUGACCCUUGUGGGUGUUGUAGGGAAGCAAAGCAGCAGAAGUUCUAAAUUGAACAUUUUGACAUGAUGCUUGGCUCCUUUGGAUCUACUUGAUAGCACAGCCUACUGUAAAGAAUGAAAGAGCAAUCAAGCCUCUGACAUGAAAGAAGAGAUUAAUGUGGCAAUCCAGGCAAAAUCGGAGCAGGCAGGAAAUUAGACAGGCACUCUCCUAUUCAUCCUCCAUUCUAUCCGCUGCCUUGUUGCUAAGGGAAGAGGAAUCCUAGAAACAAGAUAAUAGCAUUAUUUUCAACUGGAUAGAUGCAGAACGAAAAGUUUCAAAAACCCACAAAGGAAAAAAUCAGUUACAAAACGUCUUAGAAUACCAUUGGCUGCAUCAUACUAAGGGGCUAACAUUUCCAAUAUGGAGCAUUCAUUUCACACUGGUGAAAAUUGACAUCUCUUUUCCAGAUGUACUUAUUCUUAAGGUGGCCAUUAAAACUCAAAUUGGGUCAGACACCAGCUGAUUUCGAGCAUACUGCUGACCAUCUGGGUAUGUCUGGCCAGUCGUGGGGCCCCUUAGACCGACCAUCCUGAAAUCCUGGUGGAUUGAAAAUUAUCCAUCAGUUCCUUCUCAGUGUUGUGGACCUGGGCUUGAUUCUGGCCAGGGCUCUACAUCUACAGACUAAACUACACCAUCAGUGAUCUAGAAACGGCGAAAGGGCGACCAUCGAUGCUGCUGGGCUCG